rnacentral:rRNA from 1 species
UACAGAGGUCUCAAGCGUUGUUCGGAUUCAUUGGGCGUAAAGGGUGCGUAGGCGGCGCGGUAAGUCGGGUGUGAAAUCUCGGAGCUUAACUCCGAAACUGCAUUCGAUACUGCCGUGCUUGAGGACUGGAGAGGAGACUGGAAUUUACGGUGUAGCGGUGAAAUGCGUAGAUAUUGGGAAGAACACCGGUGGCGAAAGCGCCUUGCUGGGUCUGCACUGACACUGAGGGACGAAAGCUAGGGGAGCGAAAGGG